rnacentral:lncRNA from 1 species
UAAAUUUUAAAAUUUCAAUUUUAAAUAUUCAAAAUUUAAAAUUUAAAAUUUAAAAUUUAAAAUUUAAAAUUUAAAAUUUAAAAUUUUGAAAUUUUAAAUUGUUUUUUAAAUUAAAAUUUUAAAUUUUAAAUUUUGUAUAAUUUUAAAAUUUUAAAAUUUUAAUUUUAAUUCAAAUUUAAAUUUAGAUUUUAAAUUAUUUUAAAAUAAAAUUUAAUAAAAAUAUUAAUUCAUGCAAACAUGAAAACAUUUUUACUAAACAGUUUUUCAAAAUCACUUUAGAAAAAUUAUUUUUAUCUAAACUCAGCCAAACGCUUUACAGCUUUUAAUCAAAAUUAUUUCUCCAAACCAAAAUUACUUUUUUACAAAUUACUUUUUCAAAAACUAGGCCAAACG